rnacentral:lncRNA from 1 species
ACUAUUUGGGAUGAGAAUAUAUGUUGGUCCUUAAUUCUCUAAUUUUUCAUUAAACCGAUGGAGGGAAUUAAGUGUAGUUCAUUAAAGGGUUGCUAUUUGCUCCCUGAAUCACACAAUUUUAGGGCAAAAAAGAGGCGCCACACCAAAUUAGAAUAAAAUAUAAAAAAAAAAUUAACUUAAAAAUCUUUAUCUUUUUCAAGGAAAUAAGAAACCUUUAGCUGGCUCGCACUCACGGCUCAUCUCCCUCAAUGAAAUUAAAAUCCCUAAAUCACUACCCUCUAAACCUAAAUCUGCAUAUUCCUCUCAAAGUCUAUGAAUGACGGUAUGUAUACUGAAACCAGAGCUACAUUUUCUACUCUUCCAGUUUUCAUCUCUGUCAAGGUAGGUUUACAACCCAUUUGUGCAGGUUUGGGGAGAAAAUUAAACUAGGAAUGGACGACUAUCUCACCAAAAGUAAGCACACUUUCUUUUGAGAAAACCUUUACUUAUUACUUCUCAUAUGGGUUUUUGUUAAAUCUAGGUUUUUAAAGAAAUUGUUUUCAUUAGCGAUUCUAUUUUGUGGUUGCUCAGCAAGAUUUUGUAAAAUCAGUUUCUUUCAAGAUUAUGUUUUCUUGCGUGUCCCCUUUUUGAAUUGUUUGUAAAAGCCUUUUCUUUGUUUAGUUUUCUUGUAAUUUGUUCUUCAUCUUCUAUUCUCUCUUCGUUAGUUUCUAAAAUUAGUGCUUAAAGGAACUCCCCUUUUUUUAAAUUUAGUUUGGAGUAAAGAUAUGUCUUCAAUUGUUUAUUUCCCGUAAAAAAUGAUCUUUACUUCAAUUUUGUUUAGAUUGUUUAUUAGUGAAUUGUUAUAUUUCAAUCCUUUUGUAGCAGUAAUAUAGUGUUAGAUAUUAGACUACCUUUUGCCUUUUGAAAACUUAUUUAACGUAAUAUUUAGUUAGUUUUUCUCAACCUCUCUAACUUUUAGUGAGUCUAGUUUGCAUUGGCUUAGCUUUAGAAAGUCUUUACUGUGACUUGCUAUUGUAUUUAGCUUCUGGAGUAUUUGUGGCUCAUUUUUAACUCAACAAAAUGAGAACUAGCAACUCUAUUUUCAAUCAGCCCCGUUUUAGUUCUAUCGUUGUAGACGAAAGUGAAAAUUUCCAGAACCGAGUGUUUGAUUUUAGUGCAUUCAUAUUUGGUUAGUUUUAUUAUCUUUGUCUUUUUUUAUAUCAGUAUUAAGACAGUCAUAAUGUUAGGUUAUAGUCAAAUUUUCAUUUAAUUCAAUUAACAAGCAUGAAAUACUAUAACUAUAAACAAAAAUACAUGGAAUGGGUAGCUAGUACACUAGCUGAUAAGUGUUGUAUAGAGAAACUCUGUGUUCUGUUUGUUUUGACAAUUAAUUUACUGUUUAUCUCAUUCUGGUAGUAUAUCAUUAUUAUCCUUAAAUCUUAUCAUUGGUUAAUAAUUAUUAACUUUAGCUCAUUGCUAUGAAGGUUAUGUAUUUCUAAUGACCAGAGAAAUUGUUGAUGAGUAACAAUUAGUACACUGGUUGAUAAGCGUUGAACUGAAAAAUUAUGUAUUCUCCGUUUUGACAAUCAAGUUGCAGCUUACAUAUUCGUGGAGUAUUAUUAGUUUUUGUUUCUUAAAUGUCAUAAGUUAAUAAUUAUUAACUCUUAACACCUUUCCUCAAUAAUAUCAGCUUUUGUGGCCAAACACUCACAACGUGGCUCAACAUGCUUAGCUCCUUACAAAAGUCUCUAAUAUUUAAUUUAUAUAACGUUUCUUAAAAGGUUAUGUGCAUUUUAGAGUACUUUCAUUAUCCUAUAUGUUUUUAUAAUUUGAUUCUUAUGUAACCUUCCAAGUUUAUGGCAGAAGUAAGCAGUAGAAGGAACUUGUUGAUAUUCGGCUUGAUGAAGCCUACUUAAUUGGGGUGCAAAAUUUUUUGGAUUAAGCUUUUAGAAAAUCAGGAAAAUGACAUGAAAUACCAUGUCCAUGUGAUAAACAGUUAAAGACUCAAAAUUGUGGGAUGCUUGUAAUUGGUGCGACUAGUAAAGAUGGCGAGAGCCUUGAUUAUUAUGGAGUUUUGACUGAUAUACUAGAAUUGCAGUUCAUCCUGGUAGAAGAGUAAUUUUAUUUCGAUGUAGUUGGUUUGAUGUGAAUGAUGAAACAAAAGGAGUUAAAUAAGAUGAAUAUGAAUUUGUAAGUGUUAAUUGGGGGAAAGUUUUGAAAAUAAAUGAGCCUUUUAUAUUAGCGGACCAAGCAUAACAAGUUUUUUAUACUAAUGACAAUUUCAAUAAGGGUUGACAUCUGGUGAUGAAAAUGAAACCUCAUGAUUCCUAUGAGAUUCCGCAACAAAUGGAUGAUGAUAUUAAGUAAUAAAAAAAUCCUACACAAAAUACACGAAAAAGAAUGGACGAGGUAAAGCAUCUUUUAUGUAUUAGUAUAUUACCGUGUACCUCCUGGUUUACAUGAUUAUUUUGCUAAUACAUUAUUUUCAUCAUGUCUUUCUUAUUUUAUUUUCUUUUGACUCUUUUUAGGUUUAGUGUGAAACAAUCAAAGACAGAAAGUAAGAUCGGAUCCACUACGAAUGCUACGAAAUAUGGUUUCCUUCCGCCAGGUGCCAAAGUAUUAUCAUUUCUUAAGUGUUAAAUCAUCUAUGUUCUGGAUUUUCUGUUAUAAAGUUGAUAUCAGCUGCAAAUAAUGCAAGGCUUAGAUGUCAAGCUACUCUUUGGAAUUUAAAAAAUCUAGACUUUAAUUAGUUAAAAGAAACAAAAGGCAAUGCUACUAUGUGCUAACAAUACAGAGAGGCAUACCAGCAGAAUGAUAUAUCUGCUAUAUAAGUGUGUAGCUAAGUUAUAUUUGCAAAAUCUUGAAACACCCAAUUGAAGUCUAGAUUGGUUACUGUACAUUCUUCGGUCAAAAGAACAGAAAAAGUCAAGAUUUUCAAGUCUCGACACCUUAUUUUUAAGUAAAUGAUGCAAUGACUUAUGUGUUUGCACAUUAAACCUGCACAAGCACAUUAAACUUGCACAUUAAAUGAUGCAAUGACCUAUGUGUUUGCACAUUAAACCUGCACAAGGGCAAAGCUUAUACUACUUUAGCAUGAAAGAUGAUUGUGCUUCUGUCAAGAGUACUUGUGAUUUUUACCUUUAGCCAAAAAGUUAUUUCAUAAUUGUAUUUAAUAUUUUAACUCGAGUAGUGGAUAAAAUUAUCCUUAAACAUAUUUUCCAAAGUUCUAAUUCAUUUUUUUUGUUUGACUUCAUGCAGUCCCUUUCACGUUGCUGUUUAACUUUUGAAUUGUAUAUGAUCACACUUGAUGAAUUUGGGCAAAUAGUUAAAUCAUUGUUAGGGUAAAAUUAUAAAAUAUUCUUUAACCAAUUAUCUUGUUGAUCUUUAUUGGUUUUUCUGAAGAGAAAUUUUACAGGUUUUGGAGAUUGAAGUUUACAAGUAAAAAAUCUUAUUUGGCGGGCAUACAAGUUGACUAUCAUUUUGCUAGGAAUAUUGGAUAAACUUUGUAUAAUGUCUAGGGAUGUUAUCUAGGUUUUUUGUGUGAGUUCUGUCAACAAUAUUGUGAUUGCUUAAUUGAAGUGUACCUGUAAAUGACGUCAUUAAUGGAAUGUUAAUAAAUUUUUGUAAAGCAAAAUUUAUCUCUAUAUUAUAUUUUUGUUAUCUAGUUUUCUUUUUACAA